GGACCGGCGGCUACUAACGCACGCAAGUCGAACGAGGAAUGAGUAGCAAUAUUUCUUUCCCGAGUAGGCAAACGGGUGAGUAACACGUAGGUAAUCUCUCCUCGGAUGGGGAAUAACGAACCGAAAGGUUGGCUAAUCACCGCAUGAGGUCGAGGCGGCGCAAGCGGUCUGGACCAAAGCCUUUGGGCGUCCGGGGCGGAGCCUGCGGUCGAUCAGGUAGUUAGGUCGAGGUAACGGCUCACCAAGCCGCGGACCGAUCAGCUGAUUCUGAGAGGAUGACCAGCCACACUGGACACUGUGACACGGGCCAGACUACCUAACGGGAGGCAGCAGCGUAGGUAAUAUUGCGCAAUGGUUCGCAAGCCUGACACAUAAACGCCGCAGUGCGGGAACGAAGACCUUCCGGGAUUGUAAAACCGCUUUUCACUUCCGAACGAGUCGAGGACGGNAGGUAGUGGAAUCCAGUUCUUCGGUUAAACUACUUGCCAGCCAGUCCGAUGGUAAAGUAACUCAAUG
rnacentral:rRNA from 1 species